rnacentral:lncRNA from 10 species
AGUAACUUCUCACCUGCAGACAGGGCUUGACAGUCCACAGAGCUCCCUGGAGAGGGUCGGGGGCCGGGUAGGGAGAAUGGUUGAUCCCUGGAGAUCCCAUCCAUGUCAUGUGGACAUCAUAUCACAUGAUUCUGCCCUUCUGGUCGCAGCUGAUUGGACCAGAGAUGGACGAUGGACACCCAACUUGCAAGGUCAGGUAGGGUUACGGCAGCCAUGUUGGGUAACAAUUUGGGGCCAUGGGUAGUAAAGGGUAAGUGGAGAGAGAAUGAAGGAGUUUCCACAGACACUAGGUGAGAGACUCCAUAGCUCCAGGAAAAAGAUAGAGAACGUAUCUGCUUUGGUUUGGGUGGCUUUUUCUGAUUCUGGUAGCAGCUCCCAUGAAGGCAGCUGAUAUGUCUGGGAUGUUUGUUGCUUCCAAAUCUCAUGUCCAAAUGUGAUUCCCAAUGUUGGAGGUGGGGCCUGAGGGGAGGAGAUUGGAUCCUUGGAGCGGAUCCUCAUGCAUGGCUUAGCACUAUCCCCUUGGUGAUGAGUGAGUGCUCACUUGGAGUUCAUGCGAGAUCUCGCUGUUUAAAACGGCAUGGUGCCUCCCCACUCCCUUGCUCCCACUCUCGCCAUGUGAUACGCUGGCUCCCCUUUAUCUUCCACCAUGAUUGGAAGCUUCCUGAGGCCUCACCAGGAGCAGAUACUGGUGUUGUGCUUUGUCUAAAGCCUGCAGAACCAUGAGCCAAUUAACCCCAUUUUCUUUAUAAAUUACCCAGUCUCGAGUAUUCCUUUGUAUUCUAGUAACACAAACGGACUAAUACAGCAGCCAAACUUUGCUGCCCUGGAUCCUUGCUCUGAGUAUUUGAAAUCAACAUCCUUGACUUCAGCUAGCCUGAACAGAGUCCUGUGUCUUGCAAACCACCCUCUUCCCCACCUCCCAAUACCUCCUGGGACAGACAACACAGCCCAUCACCUCCCUGGUGCAGGGGCCUCACCUUGCAAGGAGUUGAAAAGUGCAAAGAUGUAGACGGUGGAGAGGCCCAACGGGGUGAAGAUGGCCAACCCCCAUGUCACACCCACCAGGCUCGAGAGGCCCAGCAGGGUGAGCACCUUCUUCCGGUUCUUCCCCCGCUCCUUGACCGCUGUAGCACGGGACAGGGUGAAGAUCUUCCAGACCACCAGGGCCAGGACCACCAUGCCAAAGAGGAAGGUGAUGAGGAAGUAGCCGUGGACGGUGAUAUAGAGGGCGUACAUGGUUGUCCCUUCACGGAACCAGCAUCUGGAGGAGGGGGCAGCUGUGGUGGGACUGGGAGUGGUACCUCUGGCCAGCAAACCCAGGAAGUCCCCUGGCUGAGCUUUUCUGUCUGUGAAGGUGCCUCUCCCAUUUCCACCCAUCAAUCCCUGGCUCUCCCGCUGUGGGAGGGGCCGUCACCUGGCUCCAGUCUGGUGUCUCUUUAAUGCCAAAGUGACCUCAAAGACAUGUUUCAUUUGCCCCAUAUUACAUUGUGAAAAAAACGGAAUUAGUGGCCGCCUUUAAAAUCAGAAGCUUUGGUAUAAACACCUAGAUUUCUGCUUCUCCUAUAAAAUCAUACACCUGGCAGCUCUGUGGAUGCCCUCCUGAAGGAUAGUAACUGACCGCUAAUUAGAUGGGCUUGUGACUGCCAGUCCGCUGCAGUCCCCACCUGGCCCACUGCCUGCACCUUUGUGACCCCUCCAGCUCCUGGGGCCCCUGCUUUUGAGGCCUGGGGACAGGUCCAAGGCCUCACCAGCUCCUCUUAGCACAGAGCCAUGGGCCCAGUGGUGGGUGCCCCAUGGAUCCCAAGGUGUGAGUCUAGAAACUGAACUCAGCUCCACUGCCCUCUGCACUGCAGGGGCAAAGGGCCUCAAAGAGCAUGUUGAUCAGUUCCCCCAUGGUGCAGAUGAGGAGACUGAGGCCCUGGGAGAGAUCGGGCCUGCCAAGAUCACACACAUAGCAGGCAGGGCAGAGCCCAGACUAGACCCAGGGCUACUGUGAAUCACUGGGCAGGUGGUGGCCUGAACAAGGACACCUGGCUGGGCAGCAGGUGGGGGCUGAAAUCCAACACACCCUCCACUCUCCAGGCUGCGCACCCCGCAUGCGGACGGGGUGACCUUCUUUACUUUGCCUCAAGGUGCCAUGUGGGCUCGUGUUGGCCCAGGCUCAAGUAAGGCAUCCUGCCUCCUGGUCCAGUUCUCCCUCUCCUUUCUCAGGCCCCCUCUCUCAUUUCACUUCCCCUCUCUCUCUCUAGGCUUCAGUUUACUUCUCUGUGCCAUGAGCUAGCUGGAUCUGAGGAUUCUUCUGGUCUUGACAUAUUUGGUCUAGAUUUUCCUAGAAAUCCCUCCUCUCCCCACCUCUCUCCAGCCCCAAUAUGUGUAGCCGGGGAGCUGGCAUCACCCCUGCUCCCACAGCCGCCACUCACAGCUCCAGAGAGGUGCGGUUCUCCCUAUCACGGAUGGUGUAGAGGCCGUAGCUGUUGGCACUCCCAGUGCCGAUGACCAUCAGGGCGGGCAGGCCUGGGCACAAGGGGAAAUGGCAUGACACCACUGGGGCUUACUGGCACUUCCUCCUCCACGUCCCCUCCAGAUGGCCAUCCCUCCAGCUCUGGGAACCCCUCCUCUCUCUCCCCAAGGCUAUUUCCCUCUGCACCCUCAGGGCCGGCCGUUUAUUCUGUCCAUCCAGGCAGCACCUACCCCAGCCCACCAGGCUCAGCUUCAGGAAGUAGUGCCCGAAGUAGGUGUUGAAGACCCUGACAGCGAGCAGGUAGAGG